AGAGUUUGAUCCUGGCUCAGGACGAACGCUGGCGGCGUGCUUAACACAUGCAAGUCGAACGGAAAGGCCCUUCGGGGUACUCGAGUGGCGAACGGGUGAGUAACACGUGGGUGAUCUGCCCUGCACUUUGGGAUAAGCCUGGGAAACUGGGUCUAAUACCGAAUAGGACCGCGCGCUUCAUGGUGUGUGGUGGAAAGCUUUUGCGGUGUGGGAUGGGCCCGCGGCCUAUCAGCUUGUUGGUGGGGUAAUGGCCUACCAAGGCGACGACGGGUAGCCGGCCUGAGAGGGUGACCGGCCACACUGGGACUGAGAUACGGCCCAGACUCCUACGGGAGGCAGCAGUGGGGAAUAUUGCACAAUGGGCGCAAGCCUGAUGCAGCGACGCCGCGUGAGGGAUGACGGCCUUCGGGUUGUAAACCUCUUUCACCAGGGACGAAGCGCAAGUGACGGUACCUGGAGAAGAAGCACCGGCCAACUACGUGCCAGCAGCCGCGGUAAUACGUAGGGUGCGAGCGUUGUCCGGAAUUACUGGGCGUAAAGAGCUCGUAGGUGGUUUGUCGCGUUGUUCGUGAAAACUCACAGCUUAACUGUGGGCGUGCGGGCGAUACGGGCAGACUAGAGUACUGCAGGGGAGACUGGAAUUCCUGGUGUAGCGGUGGAAUGCGCAGAUAUCAGGAGGAACACCGGUGGCGAAGGCGGGUCUCUGGGCAGUAACUGACGCUGAGGAGCGAAAGCGUGGGGAGCGAACAGGAUUAGAUACCCCGGUAGUCCAA
rnacentral:rRNA from 1 species